ACGAUUGUACUAAUACAGGAUCGUAUUCUACAUUUCGUACACCUAAUCAGUUUUCUCCAAAUGAAAACAAGCUUCUUACCUCAGACGACGACCGAGAAGGCCGCGCGCUCGAGCUCGACAAUCCGCUUCGCGACGACGCGGCGUCUCGGACGCCGCGCGGCGCGCUAGCUUGAUGAAGGCCCUGUGUCGUCACAUUCCAAGUCACAGAGGACGGCGCGCGGUCAGACUGAUGAGCG
rnacentral:snoRNA from 1 species